CGAAACCGCGGACGGCUCAUUAAAUCAGUCGUGGUCCUAAUGGGCUAGUGUUAUCCUACUUGGAUAACUGUGGUAAUUCCAGAGCUAAUACAUGCAACUCUUAAUCCCUCGAGCGUUUGAGUUUAUUCUCUUUCGCCUGUCGGAUGCUUUUAUUAGACCAAACCGCUAAACGGGGGUGCAAACCCCUUAAAGGCUCGUGUUAUGGUGACUCUGGAUAACAAAUCAAUUGACAAGCGCACGUAUCCAUUUGUUUGGGACGGCGCUGCCACUUUCGAGUGUCUGCCUUAUCAGCUAUGUAUCGUUCGUUAUGUGCAAACGAUGGCUUUGACGGGUAACGGGGAAUCAGGGUUCGAUUCCGGAGAGGCAGCCUGAGAAACGGCUACCACGUCCAAGGACGGCAGCAGGCACGCAAAUUACCCAAUCCCAGCACACUGUUCGGGGAGGUAGUGACGAAAUCUAACGAUGCGGGCGCCCCUUCUGGGGCCCCGCAAUCGGAAUGGGCAUUUUCUUUCUAAACACCCUGUUGAGAACCUACUGAAGGGCAAGUCUGGUGCCAGCAGCCGCGGUAAUUCCAGCUUCAGCAGCAUCUACUAAAGUUGCUGCGGUUAAAAGGCUCGCAGUUGAAUGUCAGUAUCAAGUGUAGCGAUGGUGGACGUUGGGGUGGUGGUACUGUGGGAGAGGAGCUUAACUGUGACUUUUCCCUUUGCUACUAAUAGCUCCCGUCCGUAACAAGCCUCCUCACUUGCGUACAAAGUGGAAUCUAUUUGGUGGAUAAUGUUUAACACUGUCUCGUGGGUCGGUGUGCUUUCGUGGAUACUCAUCAUCGCACUCGCUUUCAAGCUUGUGUGUGUGCGUGCUCUGUCUGCGACGGUGUGCCGCGCUCGCUUGGCUUUGUAUUUGAGGCCUGGUUUCCAAAGUCACCUUGAGUAAAUCAGAGUGCUCAAAGCAGUCGUAAGGGAUUUGCGUGCAUUUCGGUGUGCGUGGUCCUGUGAUUAAAUGUCUUUAUUGACAGACGGUCUUGGUUUUGCAUGGUAUGUCGUAAGACGCCGCAAUCUCUUGUUGGUAACGAGUCUGGUGCGGGCUGCUUGCGGUCGCGUGGAGCUGUGAUUGUGUGUGGGCGCUCGCGGUCCUCUCAUUCCUUCGCGGGUUUGACGGCGGUGUGGCGUGUCUCUUGCGCGUCCUUCUCUCUCUCGCGGCCCUGGCACACACGGGACCAACAGGUGCGGAAUGAUUAAAAGGCACGGUCGAGGGCAUUGGUAUUGCGAGGCGAGAGGUGAAAUUCAAUGACCCCCGCAAGACCUCCUGAAGCGAAAGCGUCUGCCAAGGACGUUUCACUAAUCAUGAACGACCAGGAGUGGAGCUGCGGCUUAAUUUGACUCAACACGGGCCAUCUCACCAGGCCAGCACUCUUGUACGAUUGACAGAUUGAGAGUUCUUUCUCGAUUCAGUGGAUGGUGGUGCAUGGCCGUUCUUAGUUGGUGGAGUGAUCUGUCUGGUUAAUUCCGAUAACGAACGAGACUCUCCCCUGCUAACUAGUCGGUUGGAUCUUGCUUUUGGAGAGUUGUCGUUGCCGCGCUUGUGCGCGUUUGGGAGUGUCUCCUCACGGGGUCCCCCGGCGCAAGCAUCGCGGCAGCACACUCCAAGUCCGCCGCUUAUUGGAUUUUUUGUGUGCGUGAGGUGUAAAAGCCGAGCCACACACAUGGUUGUAAGACUCUUCUUAGAGGGAUUCACGGUUCUGAAGCCGUAAGAAACCGAGAGCAAUAACAGGUCUGUGAUGCCCUUAGAUGUUCUGGGCCGCACGCGCGCUACAAUGCCGUGCUCAACAGGUGUUCAUCCUUCUCCGAGAGGAGUGGGUAACCCUUUGAAAGCACUCUAUCGUUCUCUUGCAUGCGCGUACCGAGGUGCUUUCGUGCCUCUGGUGCGUCGUGUGCAUAUGGCUUGCUUGGGCCUGGGUCUUGCAAUUCUUUCCCACAAACGAGGAAUGCCUAGUAGUGGCGGGUCACAGAGCUCGCUGUGACUCAGUCCCUGCCCUUUGUACACACCGCCCGUCGCUACUACCGAUUGGGUGUACCAGUGAGAUCCUUGGACUGGCGAGCCUUGCACGGAAGCAUUUAUGCUCGAGUGCAAGUGUGUACGACUCGAAGAGGCUCGAACUGGUGCACUUAGAGGAAGUAAAAGUCGUAACAAGGUUUCCGUAGUGACCUGCGA
rnacentral:rRNA from 1 species